rnacentral:rRNA from 1 species
AUGUAUAGGAAGAGGAGACUGUGGGCAGCAUCAUAUCUUUCGGAUGGCUUUUUUCUUGGUAUGCGUAGUAACCAGAGGAGCGAAAGCCUCAACUCCUCCCUUCACCUUCACCUUGACUAUGGUAUGACCAUAGUUGAUUUGGUAGUGCAUUAUGAGAACUGCAUAGUUCGCCUCCGUGAGAACGAGGCGAAUGAUGACUGUGAGGCCAAUCAGAAAGUACCACCGGCGGUUACUGAAUAUAAGGACAUUGAGGAGCAUGCUGCCAAAGUAUUCACUCCUGCUAAUUUCUACAUUCUGCAAAAUGAUUUGAAGAAGAUGGGAGAACUGGAGAUAUUUGAGACGCUGGUGGGAAUUGAGCGCCAGACCUUCAUCGUCACAUGGCAGAAUAACCACAAGUUCAGGUAUAAUGUUCUGUAUGAACCAGGUAACUCAGAAGAAACCUUAUCAUGCACGUGUCGCAGGAUGGUUCGGAAAGGGCUGCCUUGCAAACAUAUUCUCUUUGUUUUGCAUCAUCUUAAAUUGUCUGAAAUACCAAAGUGUUGUGUCCUCCAUCGGUUGUCUAAAGAUGCAAGAGAUGGGUUGCCAGCGCAACGCAAGAGUGAUCUUUUUGGUUGGGGUUGGUCUGGGCCUGAGGAGAGAGAACUGUACAGUCAAGUGAGCAUAAAAUCAGCAAAAGCUGCUCAUGUUGCAGCAAAUGACCCCUUCUUGUUUGAUGAAUUGAUGAAGUGCCUAGACGGUAUAAUAGCAAGGAAGAAGAUCCCAGAAGAGGAACUCAUAGGACGCAGAAGGUGUGCUCUAAUUGCAAAGCAGGCAAUUCAAGCGGAAGAAGGUGCAGCAGGUAUACGUGAUCCUGAGAAAGUUUCAACGAAGGGUGCACCUAAGAAAGGCCGGUCAAAGGGUGGCCCUGACGUUACGAAAAAUGGUAGACCUAAAGAUUUUAGAGAGAAGAAAAGUGGUCCGUUGUGCAGUCUUUGCAAAUUUGCAGGUCAUAACAAGGCGACAUGUAGUCAAAACGAGAAG